GUGCUCGCUUCAACAGCACAUAUACAAAAAUUGGAAUGAUACAGAGAAGAUAAGCAUGGCCCCUGUGCAAAGAUGACAUGCUAAUUUGUGAAGUGUCAUAUAUAUAU